UGGUGGCGAUAGCGAGAAGGAUACACCUGUUCCCAUGCCGAACACAGAAGUUAAGCUUCUUAGCGCCGAUUGUAGUGAAGGGUUU
rnacentral:rRNA from 1 species